ACCUUUUUAUCUGUUAAAAUUUUCCACCUUUUUUUCCACUUUAAUUCUUCCACUCUCAAAAUUAUUCUCUCUUCUCUUUCACACUUCUCUUACUUUCUCUCUCCUCUGUAUUUUUUUCUGGGUGUUUCUCUCUCUUCAGUGAGUGUAACAGUGGAGCUUUGAAGCUCUCAACAAUGGCGGAUAUUAGUCAUCCUCCCAUGGAACAACUUCAAGACCUUGAAUAUUGCAUAGACUCUAAUCCUCCUUGGGUUGAAACCAUCCUUUUAGCAUUUCAGAACUACAUUCUGAUGCUUGGUACAAGUGUGAUGAUUCCUACAAUAAUCGUCCCUGCAAUGGGUGGAUCUGAUGGUGACAAGGCACGGGUCAUACAAACUCUCCUAUUUGUGGCAGGGAUUAACACACUCUUGCAAGCAUUGUUUGGGACCAGGCUACCCGCUGUAGUUGGAGGAUCGUUUGCUUAUAUUAUCCCUGUAGCAUACAUUAUAAAUGACUCAUCACUGCAGCGCAUUCCCGAUUCACAUGAUAGAUUUAUUCAAACUAUGAGGGCUAUUCAAGGAGCUCUGAUUGUUUCUUCAAGUAUACAAAUCAUUUUAGGUUACAGCCAACUUUGGGGCCUCUUUUCACGAUUCUUUAGUCCUCUUGGGAUGGCACCAGUUGUUGGAUUGGUCGGCUUAGGGUUGUUUCAGCGAGGAUUUUCAGCACUAGGAAACUGCGUAGAAAUUGGGUUUCCAAUGCUCUUGCUCGUGAUUGGAACGUCUCAAUAUUUGAAGCAUAUCAGACCUUUGAGGGAUAUACCAAUAUUCGAGCGAUUUCCAGUCAUUAUUUGUGUCACGAUUGUGUGGGUUUAUGCCAUUAUAUUGACAGCAGCUGGGGCCUACAAACAUAAACCCCACAGCACUCAGAUCAGUUGUCGUACAGAUAGGUCAAAUCUCAUAUCAACAGCCCCAUGGUUUAAAUUUCCAUAUCCUUUGCAAUGGGGCCCUCCUACUUUUGCAGCCGGUCAUUCCGUUGCUAUGAUGGCAUCUGUUUUUGUUUCGAUGAUCGAAUCAACUGCUGCUUACAAGGCAGCAUCCAGGCUUGCGAUUGCUACUCCUCCUCCAGCUUAUGUUCUGAGUCGCGGCAUAGGAUGGCAGGGGAUUGGAAUUUUGCUGGAUGGUCUCUUUGGAACUGGCACUGGAUCUACUGUGUCUGUGGAAAAUGUCGGAUUGCUAGGGCUCACUCGAGUAGGAAGUCGGAGAGUGGUUCAAAUCUCAGCCGGUUUUAUGAUUUUCUUUUCUACUUUAGGAAAAUUUGGUGCUGUUUUUGCAUCCAUACCAUUCCCUAUAUUCGCUGCAUUAUACUGUGUUCUUUUUGGCCUUGUGGCUUCGGUUGGACUAUCAUUUCUACAAUUUACAAACAUGAACUCUAUGAGGAAUCUUUUUAUAAUUGGGAUCUCUCUUUUUCUCGGUAUAUCUAUACCUCAAUUCUUCGACGACUAUCUUCCGCAUCAUGGCCUUGUUCGGACGAAUGCAGGAUGGUUCAAUGCAUUUGUGACAACGAUCUUCAUAUCAUCACCGACAGUAAGCUUGAUCAUUGCAGUUUUCUUGGACAACACAUUAGACGUAGAGAGAUCAAAAAAAGAUAGAGGGAUGCCGUGGUGGGUGAAGUUUAGAAGUUUUAGAGGAGACAACAGGAAUGAAGAAUUUUACACAUUACCUUUUAAUCUCAACAGAUUCUUUCCUCCUACAUAGUAAAAACCGCCCUUGGAAUUUUAUCAGUUCUGAUAAGACUAACCAUGCUGAGUUCAGAUAGACGACGGAGAUUCAGCAACAAACUGGAUAUAUAUUGAUCGUAAAAACGCUAGAUCAUUCUAACGUAUCCGGUGUAAUUUUUGGUGGACCGUGUGCAGCAAGGUCCUAGAGUUAGGGAUUUAUCUAAAGACUGAAUCAGAGGAUAUGAAGACUAAAAACUUGAUUGAAUUAUAAUGUUUUGGGACAUUUAAAAGCAAACUAUAGAGUUCAAAUCCCCGAAUGAGAAAUCGAAAUAUAAUUUGUUUUGUAAGUUCAAAACACGAGUACAAAAUGUACAA